rnacentral:misc_RNA from 1 species
UAUUCUCAAUCCCGUCUGCUUUGCGGCCGUCGGGUUUGGAUGUGGAGGCUUGCUGGCCCCUCGCGGUCGGCUCCUCUUGAAUGCAUUAGCGGGGCUUAUGCUCGAUGCAACGGUGUAAUACUUUCUUUUCACCGGAGUCACUUGCAAUGGAAAGUCCGCUUCUAAUCGUCUCGCAUGAGACAUUGUAAAGGGAUGGAUUUCUCUUUGACAC